rfam:Camelus ferus unplaced genomic scaffold scaffold1405, whole genome shotgun sequence.
GUGAGUAUAACUCAGUGGUAGAACAUGUACUUAGCAUGCAUAAGGUCCUGGGUUCAAUCCCCAGUACCUACA